UUUACAUUCAGACAACGUGGCCAGCCUAUCAGUGUUGCACUCUGUUCAGUAGAGUUUGAGUGCUUGGCAGUUCGGCUCAAGAAAGGACCUCAGUGUCUGGUAUCUCAUCCUGCCAGGUGAUCUUCAGAAUCUUCCCGAGACAGUUCAAAAGGAAGCCAUUCAGUUUCCUGGCAUGGAGCUUCGUAUACUGUCCGGGUUUCACAGGCAUAAAACAAUGAGGUCAGCACAACGGCUCUGUAGACCUUCAGACCAGCAGUCAGUCUCAUACCUCUUCUCUCCCACACUUUCCUUCGGAGCCUCCCCAACACUGAGCUGGCUCUGGCGAUGUGUGUGUAUCAACCUCGUUAUCAUUGUGUACAUCUCUGGAAAGUACACUGCCAAGGACUGAUGAUGAAACCUACUGCCUUCCUCUUGACAAAGAAGUUAUGGAGUCAAGAUGCUGCAUGAUACACAUGUUUUUUAGAAACAAUCAAUGUGGGAAUUUGUUAUGAGAGUUUCAUUCGUCGUCCCCCCCUGCCCUCAUGGAUGGAAAGAGCCCUAGGAGAGGAUGGUCACCCAAUGUUUGCAUCAUCUCUAGCCUAGCAAGCAGUUUCUUCUUGUUAGUAAUCAUUGGAUUCAGAACAGAAUCUCCCCGUGUUGCUUCUACUUUGAAGACUGAAAUGAUCACUAAGCCCAGCUUCUCAAGACUGCCUUUUCCCAGACCGGGGCUCGAUGAAGGAAUGACUUCCAGGCUGCUCCCAGCCAGCCUCCAGCACCCGGUGACAUUCAGGGAUGGGUCUGUGGACUUCACCUGGGAGGAGUGGAGGCACCUGAGCCUGGCCUAGAGGGACCUGUACAGAGACGUGAUGCUGGAGAACUAUGAGAACCUGGUGUCUGUGGGAGCAGGGUUUCCAGUUGCCAAACCCAAUGUGAUCUCUCAGUUGGAGAGAGGAAAAGCACUACGUAGGCCCAUGGCAGAAGUGCCAAGAAACACCUGCCCAGAUUCACUUAGACAGGAAAUUACGUAUGAAACAAGGGACUCCACUCUGAUGCCUGGCAUUUGCCUGAAAACAUUGGCCAAUGGAAGACUACUGAAGGAUAACCCCUUCUAUUCCAAGUUUAGAAAAUUCAGUGAACAGGAAAUUGGGUUAGAGAAACAAGAAGGCAACCAGGAGAGACACUCCCAACAAGUGUUAGUCACUCACCAAAAUGCAUUUGAGAAGGAGAAGGUCACUGAAUGUAAUACAUUUGUGAGUCAUGGUAGUCUGACUCCAGUCUUUUUUCCACAUUGGAAAGCUUCCCCCAAGAAACAUUUACAUAAAUAUAAAACCUAUGGAAAGCAUUUAAGACACUUUUUGGACAGAAUUCAUUGUAAUCCAAUCUCAUGGAAGAAGCUUUGUAAAUAAAACAAAUGCACAAAA